rnacentral:rRNA from 1 species
UACAGGGGGUGCAAACGUUGCUCGGAAUUAUUGGGCGUAAAGCGCACGUAGGCGGUUUGUUAUGUCGGAUGUGAAAGCCCUUGGCUCAACUGAGGAAGUGCACCCGAUACUGCCUGGCUUGAGUAUCGGAGAGGUUGGUGGAAUUCUCGGUGUAGAGGUGAAAUUCGUAGAUAUCGAGAGGAGCACCGGUGGCGAAGGCGGCCAACUGGACGAAUACUGACGCUGAGACACGAAAGCGUGGGGAGCAAACAGG